UACGGGGGGAGCAAGCGUUGUUCGGAUUUACUGGGCGGAAAGGGCGCGUAGGCGGCCAGCACAAGUCAGUUGUGAAAUCUCCGAGCUUAACUCGGAAAGGUCAACUGAUACUGUGCGGCUAGAGUGCGGAAGGGGCAACUGGAAUUCUUGGUGUAGCGGUGAAAUGCGUAGAUAUCAAGAGGAACACCUGCGGCGAAGGCGGGUUGCUGGGCCGACACUGACGCUGAGGAGCGAAAGCGUGGGGAGCAAACAGG
rnacentral:rRNA from 1 species